AUUGAACGCUGGCGGCAGGCCUAACACAUGCAAGUCGAGCGAGCGGCGGACGGGUGAGUAAUGUCUGGGAAACUGCCUGAUGGAGGGGGAUAACUACUGGAAACGGUAGCUACUACCGCAUACCAUCAGAUGUGCCCAAAUGGGAUUAGCUAGUAGGUGGGGUAACGACUCACCUAGGCGACGAUCCCUAGCUGGUCUGAGAGGAUGACCAGCAACACUGGAACGGAGACACGGGCCAGACGACUACGGGAGGCAGCAGUGGGGAAUAGUGCACAAUGGGCGCAAGCCUGAUGCAGCCAUGCCGAGUGUGUGAAGAAGGCCUUCGGGUUGUAAAGCACUUGCAGCGGGGAGGCGUUACCCGCAGAAGAAGCACCGGCUAACUCCGUGCCAGCAGCCGCGGUAAUAC
rnacentral:rRNA from 1 species